GUAAACUCUUCACCCUAGCUUUCUGAUUAUCCUUGCACUGCCUGUACCUUCAUGUUUCUCUGUGUGAAAGAGCUCACCUCCCUGUCUUGGUUUCUACAGCCCCUUCAUGAAGUAGGAGUCAAUGUAUCUAGGGAUGUGUGAAGGUGGUGGAUCCCGCCGGGCGCAUUCUACAAAGAGGAACUUGGUUGGAGAAUGGAGUCCAUGCCCCAGUAGCAAGCCACUUUUCAUCUGCCUCAGAAAAUCUCUUGCUUCUGUGGUGGCCUCAGGAUGAUGCUGUAACCCGUCUGGCAGAACUGACAUCUUGUAUCUCCAUCUGAGGAAACAAUGGAUCCCCCAAGAAAUGGGAAUUUCCCCAGGAAUGUCAUGCUGGGGGAAGGACAGGGUGCCAGGUGGAGCUUGUUAAGAGAUUUCACACAGUUCUACAACCUGUUAGUCUCCUGACAGGAUAAGACUGAAGCCCAGACAACAAAUGGGUCAGGAGUGGGCAGAACCACACCUUGACUGGAACUGCUUAAAUGUGCAGAUCCUCAGCCCUCUGUUUAAACUUUGAUUUUACCUGAGUACCCUGAAGAUGGACCUGGGGGUCUUGCUGAAUCUCUUCAUCCCAUUCACAAUGUGGACACACUGAGUCAUUUGAGAGAGGAAGACACACCCUUCUAUGGGAAAUCCCAUUCUGUGGGCUGCGGUCCCGUGAUGAAUAAAAAGAGAAAGUGAGCACUCAUCAGGGUGAACAGUUCCUCAAGAUCUUGCCACCCGACUCCCUGCUAUCUUGGACCGCGUGUACCCUCAAACUGUGAGCCCAAUAAACUCUUCCUUCCU